rnacentral:rRNA from 1 species
GAUGAACGCUGGCGGCGUGCCUAAUACAUGCAAGUCGAGCGAACGGACGAGGAGCUUGCUUCUCUGAUGUUAGCGGCGGACGGGUGAGUAACACGUGGAUAACCUACCUAUAAGACUGGGAUAACUUCGGGAAACCGGAGCUAAUACCGGAUAAUAUUUUGAACCGCAUGGUUCAAAAGUGAAAGACGGUCUUGCUGUCACUUAUAGAUGGAUCCGCGCUGCAUUAGCUAGUUGGUAAGGUAACGGCUUACCAAGGCAACGAUGCAUAGCCGACCUGAGAGGGUGAUCGGCCACACUGGAACUGAGACACGGUCCAGACUCCUACGGGAGGCAGCAGUAGGGAAUCUUCCGCAAUGGGCGAAAGCCUGACGGAGCAACGCCGCGUGAGUGAUGAAGGUCUUCGGAUCGUAAAACUCUGUUAUUAGGGAAGAACAUAUGUGUAAGUAACUGUGCACAUCUUGACGGUACCUAAUCAGAAAGCCACGGCUAACUACGUG